AACGAACGCUGGCGGCAUGCCUAACACAUGCAAGUCGAACGAGACCUUCGGGUCUAGUGGCGCACGGGUGCGUAACGCGUGGGAACCUGCCUUUAGGUUCGGAAUAACUCAGAGAAAUUUGAGCUAAUACCGGAUGAUGUCUUCGGACCAAAGAUUUAUCGCCUUUAGAUGGGCCCGCGUUGGGUUAGCUUGUUGGUGGGGUAAAGGCCUACCAAGGCGACGAUCCAUAGGUGGUCUGAGAGGAUGAUCAGCCACACUGGGACUGGGACACGGCCCAGACUCCUACGGGAGGCAGCAGUGGGGAAUAGUGGAAAAUGGGCGAAAGCCUGGUCCAGCACUGUCGCGCGAGUGAUGAAGGCCUUAGGGUUGUAAAGCUCUUUUACCCGAGAUGAUAAUGACAGUAACGGGAGAAUAAGCUCCGGCUAACUCCGUG
rnacentral:rRNA from 1 species